ACGGACCUGCACUCGUUCCAUUUUAUGCUACUGCUUGCUUGCUUGUGCUCUUGUUUGAUUUGCAUUUCAACUCCAUUUCUGCCAACAAAUGCAGCCCCAGGUUCUCCUUAGAAUAACUUCUUCCCGGCCAGGCACGGAGUCAAAUUACAAACUGAAUUGGGGAAGGAGGCCAAACGAAGAUCCACCUUGGCUUGCUCCUUAUGUAGGAGUUUACUAGGGCUGCACCUGGGAUUGUCUUUCUCUGCCAGGCCUUUUCUAUUAUCUAAUUCAGCUGUAAGGAAAUUUAGAGGAAGAGUCAUUAAAGAAGUAUUUUUAAAAUGGAAAAAUAGUGGAUAUAGAUAUUUCACUCUGAAGGCCAUUCAUGUUAAAAAAUGAUACUCUCUUGGACAAAGGAGGCAAUGAUGGAGUGAAAUGCUCUUAUGUGAAAGCCUCUGUCACUCACCAGAAGAAGUUCACCAUCAGUUGAGAGCCCAAGUUAUGUCUCUGGGGAGGAAAGAACACAAAUUUUGAUACCGUCAAAGAAAAUGAUGCAGCAUGUAUCAUUAUUUGUUCCUUCGUGUUGGAUGAAAUGUACGAUAGAGUACUACGGUCACACAUAAAAGAUAAGUAUUCAUAUAUACAAUUUCUACUCUCGUAUAGUACUCAGGAAAGAGAUUACAUCUAUUAUGCCUCCUUCAGCAAAUGCAGCUUGUGAUCGUAUAUUCCUUUCUAAUGAGGGUGAAUAGAAUUAUUUUCUGGUAAUCACUACAUUGAGCAGUAUUAUAAAAAUUUUUCCUUGACUUACACAUUUUAAUGGUUUUAAGAAAAAAUAGCUACAUGAAUGAAACAGAUGGUUCCAUAAGAUGACCACUUUCCAUUAUGAGUGUGGCAGAUCAAUGCUUGUUCAAAUAUGAAUGUGUGCAAAAACCACCUUGAGAUCCUGUUAAGAGGCAAGUUCUGAGUCAGUGGGUCUGGGCUGGGGCACUAAUAACAAGCUCCCAGGCAUUGCUGCUGUUGCUGGUACUUGGACCUCACUUUGCUCUGCAACUUUCUAGAUAACAGGAUCUAUUAUAAAAGUUCUGGCCAGGCACGGUGGCUCACGCCUGUAAUCCCAGCACUUUGGGAGGCCAAGAUGGGCGGAUCACGAGGUCAGGAGAUCGAGACCAUCCUGGCUAACACGGUGAAACCCCGUCUCUACUAAAAAUAUAAAAAAAUUAAUCAGGUGUGGUGGCGGGCACCUGUAGUCCCAGCUACUCAGGAGGCUGAUGCAGGAGAAUGGAGUGAACCCGGGAGAUGGAGCUUGCAGUGAGCCGAGAUGGCGCCACUGCACUCCAGCCUGGGCGACAGAGCGAGACUCCGUCUCAAAAAAUAAAAAAAGAAGUUCUAAGUAUUUGGCAGUAAUAGUUUUAUAGGAGAGACUAGAUUUUACUAGGACCUUGAAUAGAUGAGAGUUGGAUAAAUUAUAAAGGGACAAAAUAACAUAAAAUCAGAAGCAUAAGUAUACUAUGUUGAUAGUAAAGGGAAGAGAGGGUUAUGAUUGCAGUUGUGGGCCUAAAAAUAAAUAAAUAAAAGUUAGCAAGAAUAAUGUUACAUUUUAGAAAGCAAUGAAAGUUAUUGUUGGGGUGGGAAUUAAACAUGCCAUGAUUGAAUUGAAAUACUUAAAUAUAUUACAGUUACAUAUUAUUUGAUUGUUUAUACCAUACUUUUAACAUAAAAGGUAUAGGCCAGGUGCAGUGGCUCAAGCCUGUAAUCCUAGCACUUUGGGAGGCCAAGGCAGGCAGAUUGCCUGAGGUCAGGAGUUUGAGACCACCUUGGGUCUGGUGGUGCGUGCCUGUAGUCCCAGCUACUUGGAAGGCUGAGGCAGGAGAAUUGCUUGAACCCAGGAGGUGGAGGCUGCACUGAGCCGAGAUGGUGCCACUGCACCACUCCGGCCUGGGCAACAGAGCAAGACUCUGUCUAAAAAACAAAAAACAAAAAUAAACAAAUAAAUAUGAAAACAUGAAAGGUAUCAUCUGAUUCUUACAGUGAGGAAAACAAGUCUCACAAAAGUUUUAAGAGACUUACCUAAAACACAAAAUGUUAAACCUGAGCCAGGAACACAAAUCUUCUGACCCAUAGUCUUAGUAUUUUGUUUGCAUUAUCCCAAACUGCCUUUUUGUUUUACAUAUUUUAACUUAUUUCCUACAUAUUCUAACUGGUUAUACUUUAUGAUAUACUGAUAGCAAUAACUUUAGAAAGUUGGUAUCCCUACCCUUUUCAACAUUGUCCUCAUUGCCCUCUGCUUUUUUGUUUACAACAGUUAACUUGCUCUCCUGUUGCAGUCUCAUCUAUUGGAGGAAUUGCAGGGAAAGUGCAUGGGAAUGUAACUAGAUUGGACACCUUAUCCAAAGUCAAUGGCUGAAAAGUUGGCUGUUUUACCACGGAAUCAAGCCAUCAAGUUAGUCAUAAGAAUUAUCUCAAGAAAGCCAAAUUUUUAACUCAUAUUCACUUUUCAAGCUUUGGGAAUUCUCAGAUUCUUCUAAAUUUUCUUAAAGUUAAGCAGUUCAGGUGAAACCAAGUCCAUGUACUCAAGGAAACAGGUGAACAUAUAAACGAUGUAACAGUUUAUAUGUAGGAAUGCCCUUUGGCUCUGUCUAUUGCUGUCAGUACAUUAUUUACCUGCUCCAGCAAGUUCUCCUCUAAAACAAAACAAAACAAAACAAAACAACAAAACAAG